GGGAUUGUGGCUCAGUGGUACAGUGCUUACCUAGCAUGCGUGAGACGCUGGGUUUGAUACCCAGCACCCCA
rnacentral:tRNA from 1 species